rnacentral:rRNA from 1 species
UAUGUGAUCGUCUCUCGCAUAUCAAUAAGCGGAGGAAAAGAAACUAACAAGGAUUCCCCUAGUAACGGCGAGUGAAGCGGGAAGAGCUCAAAUUUGAAAUCUUAAAGGGUUUCCCUUUACGAAUUGUAGUUUAAAGAAGUGUUUUCUGUUGAGGUUUUGGUAAAAGUUCUUUGGAAUAGGACAUCAUAGAGGGUGAGAAUCCCGUAUUUGACCUUUACUUUCAACCUUGUGAUACACUUUCAAAGAGUCGGAUUGUUUGGGAAUGCAGUCCAAAAUGGGUGGUAAAUUUCAUCUAAAGCUAGAUAUUGGCGAGAGACCGAUAGCGAACAAGUACCGUGAGGGAAAGAUGAAAAGAACUUUGAAAAGAGAGUUAAACAGUACGUGAAAUUGUCAAAAGGGAAGCGUUUGACACCAGUGUUGUUUUUCUGAAAAUCAAUUAAAGAACUGUUUAUGCUAAGUUGUUUAGACUUUAUCAGCUAACUGUUUAGUUUUGAGCUUUUCUUUAAUGCACUUUUCAGUUAACAAGUCAACAUCAAUUUCUUUUGCUGUAAAAAAGCUUGAGGAAGGUGGCUUGAGAUUCGUCUUAAGUGUUUAUAGCCUCUUGCCUAUGCAGUCGGAGAGAUUGAGGUCUGCAGCGUAGAUCCUUCGGGGCUAAAUGCAUUUGUGCUAAGUUAUAGCAUUUUAUAGACAACUUGUUGACUAUGAUUUGUCUUGUAGCUUACUCGCUUAUGUUAUUUUACCUACGCUUAGGAUGUUGAGUCAUCACACAUCUCU